rnacentral:rRNA from 1 species
UGAGGAAUAUUGGUCAAUGGGUGAGAGCCUGAACCAGCCAUCCCGCGUGAAGGACUAAGGACCUAUGGUUUGUAAACUUCUUUUGUAUAGGGAUAAACCUACUCUCGUGAGGGUAGCUGAAGGUACUAUACGAAUAAGCACCGGCUAACUCCGUGCCAGCAGCCGCGGUAAUACGGAGGGUGCAAGCGUUAUCCGGAUUUAUUGGGUUUAAAGGGUCCGUAGGCGGAUUUGUAAGUCAGUGGUGAAAUCCUGCAGCUUAACUGUAGAACUGCCGUUGAUACUGCGAGUCUUGAGUGUAUUUGAGGUAGCUGGAAUGAGUAGUGUAGCGGUGAAAUGCAUAGAUAUUACUCAGAACACCGAUUGCGAAGGCAGGUUACCAAGAUACAACUGACGCUGAGGGACGAAAGCGUGGGGAGCGAACAG